rnacentral:rRNA from 1 species
GGAGUUAGCCGGUGCUUCUUCUGUGAGUGAUGUCCUUCCUGCCGGCUAUUAACCCGCAGGCCUUCUUCCUCACUGAAAGUGCUUUACAACCCGAAGGCCUUCUUCACACACGCGGCAUGGCUGGAUCAGGGUUGCCCCCAUUGUCCAAUAUUCCCCACUGCUGCCUCCCGUAGGAGUCUGGGCCGUGUCUCAGUCCCAGUGUGGCUGAUCAUCCUCUCAGACCAGCUACGGAUCGUCGCCUUGGUGAGCCGUUACCUCACCAACCAGCUAAUCCGACAUAGGCUCAUCCGAUAGCGCGAGGCCCGAAGGUCCCCCGCUUUCCCCCGUAGGGCGUAUGCGGUAUUAGCCUGGGUUUCCCCAGGUUAUCCCCCACUACCCGGGCAGAUUCCUAUGCAUUACUCACCCGUCCGCCGCUCGCCACCAGGGAGCAAGCUCCCCGUGCUGCCGCUCGACUUGCAUGUGUUAGGCCUGCCGCCAGCGUUCAAUCUGAGCCAUAAUCAAACUCU